CUCGUUUUGAAACGGAAUCGAUGUUUCAGCCCGAGCGGGAGGAGGUGGGCAACUUCUUUUGGAGUUGCAAGCAAAGGGUGAUAAGGGGACCCCUGGACUGGGUGUGUGGAGGGCGUGGGGGAAGGCAGGGGUCCAAGUCAAGCCAAACGGUCUUCUCACGUGCAAACUCGCAAUCCAAUCCAUUCAGAGUCGGGCUUAGGAUAGGAGGGGAAACACUAUUUAAAAAAAUCGGAGCAUCUCUCUGAGAAGCCCUUGCAAACAAAACCCAAGCAGGACCAGCGAACCUCAGACCGCCCUUCACAUCCCCGCUGCGAGGCCCGCGGGCUGUGGAAUCUCGCACGUCACCUGGCCCCAGCAGGGCAGCCAGCUGAGGGCUUGCUUUUCUUUUCUUUUUUGAAGUAAAGGAUGCAUCUCGGCUGCAGGGCUUUUGCCAGCGUCUACACUGACAGGAACCGGCCAACUUCAGGACCCAAAUGAGCAUCUUAAUUUAUUGAUGCAAAACAGAAAGCUUCACACAUGAGAUAAAUGCACGCAAAGAUUCCUCAGAAGUAGCUCUUUGGAUCUUCAGAUGUGAAAUGGAUCAUUCCUCAAUCUGUAAUAGAAGCUUCUGUGAAGCUUUGCAAUCAAACCUGAGAAGUCAAGGUGAAAUUGAAGGAAGGAUGGAAAACCUCUAUGUGUUGCAUUUUGUAGCAUCCUAAACAGAAGGAUAUUGCAGGGAGCUGAUUCUGCUUUGAUCCUUGUGCUUGUUGUCAAAGCGCUUGGGAUUGAAGAGACUGUUGGCUACAAUUGACUGUGACAAUUAGGAGAUGAUCAGAGCCCUAGAGUGGAGCACUUAAAGGGUAAAAGGCAAACAGAAUGAGAAAAUUGAUCAUCAGCAAUCGUCCAACUGGUGCUCCCUCCCAAGGAUACUGAAGAGCAGUUUCUUGAGCUGGGACUGGGAAGGACAAGUAGUAAAAAAACUUUCAAGUGCAGACUUCAAUGUUUCCUGAAUAUGAUCUCACGAAACUAACAGUCUCCAGCUAUCACUGAAGGACCCUGUCCUUGGAAAGGGUACUGGGGAUUGAACUCAGGACCUUGUGUUUUGCGAUGCAGACGCGGUGCCACUGAGCUAAAUCCCCAGCCCCUUGGCUGCCUUUCUUUGACAACACUUUUUUUUAAAGAUCUAAUGGAUCUAUCUGGGAUUGGCAACUAAUUCAUGAUAAAGACGGAUUAAAAAUAUUAUCCACAUCUUAUAUUAUUUAUUGCCUAUAUAUCAAAAUCAUACCCUCUUAGUGAAUGAUAGAAACAGUGCUAACUGCAGACCUCCGUGCUGUGAUGGAAGUCAUUGAGAAUCUACAAUUUUUCUCCUAUUGUCUUUAUGAACAAGAAAUCCAUCACACUGAAAUGUGGAUCUUUUAAAUUAUUAUACUAACUUUACGCUUGAACCAUUUAUUUUAUAUGCUGAAG
rnacentral:lncRNA from 1 species